UAAAAACUUUUAACAACGGAUCUCUUGGUUCUGGCAUCGAUGAAGAACGCAGCGAAAUGCGAUAAGUAAUGUGAAUUGCAGAAUUCAGUGAAUCAUCGAAUCUUUGAACGCACAUUGCGCCCAUUAGUAUUCUAUUGGGCAUGCCUGUUCGAGCGUCAUU
rnacentral:rRNA from 1 species